CCUACGGGUGGCAGCAGUGGGGAAUAUUGGACAAUGGGGGCAACCCUGAUCCAGCCAUGCCGCGUGUGUGAAGAAGGCCCUCGGGUUGUAAAGCACUUUCAGUGAGGAAGAACGCCUGGUGGUUAAUACCCAUCAGGAAAGACAUCACUCACAGAAGAAGCACCGGCUAACUCCGUGCCAGCAGCCGCGGUAAUACGGAGGGUGCGAGCGUUAAUCGGAAUUACUGGGCGUAAAGCGCGCGUAGGUGGCUUGAUAAGCCGGUUGUGAAAGCCCCGGGCUCAACCUGGGAACGGCAUCCGGAACUGUCAAGCUAGAGUGCAGGAGAGGAAGGUAGAAUUCCCGGUGUAGCGGUGAAAUGCGUAGAGAUCGGGAGGAAUACCAGUGGCGAAGGCGGCCUUCUGGACUGACACUGACACUGAGGUGCGAAAGCGUGGGUAGCAAACAGGAUUAGAUACCCCUUGUAGUC
rnacentral:rRNA from 1 species